rnacentral:rRNA from 1 species
UACAUAGGUAGCGAGCGUUAUCCGGAAUAACUGGGCGUAAAGGGAGUGUAGGUGGCUGUGCAAGUCUUGUGUGAAAGGCCUAGGCUUAACUUAGGUAUUGCAUAAGAAACUGUAUAGCUAGAGUGCGAGAGAGGCAAGUGGAAUUCCUAGUGUAGCGGUAGAAUGCGUAGAGAUUAGGAGGAACACCAGAGGCGAAGGCGACUUGCUGGCUCGCAACUGACACUGAGACUCGAAAGCGUGGGGAGCAAAC